AACGCACAUUGCGCCCUUUGGCAUUCCGAAGGGCAUACCUGUUCGAGCGUCAUUAUCACCCCAUCAAGCUUGGCUUGUUGUUGGGCCCUUUGUCACCUGGUGAUAGGUCCAAAAGAUAAUGACCGGUGUCGUAAAGACUCUAUAUGCAACGAGCUUAUAACAGCACGCAUCUGGCAGUCAUACGGCCCGGUGAUCACCCUUUAAUUUCUCAAGGUUGACCUCGGAUCAGGUAGGAAUACCCGCUGAACUUAA
rnacentral:misc_RNA from 1 species